rnacentral:lncRNA from 1 species
AAGAGGUUGAGUUUCCUCAUCAUUAUUUUGUCUUGUGUAGGUUGUUUUGUUAGCUUCGAAGCUUUUUCUGGUGCGCGGUGCAGGACUAAACCGGCUCUGAUGUGGGUUGCUACUUCUUCCAUCGAUGUUGGUAAGGCGACUUUUAGGUGGAUUUUUGAUGGUAUAGCGUAUUCGGCUUUCGGUUCAGUUCCUCAGUUCUUUUGUGUUAAAGGUUAACCAAACGACGAUCUAUGUUGGUUUAGAUAUGGAAUGCGAAUUUGAUUUGGGUUUGUGUGUCAUAAGGCAGUGUUGGUUGUGGCUGUUUAGUUUCUCCGGCUUGGAUGUUUAGGCCGUGGGAUUUGGCUUCGUCUCAUGUCCUCUAUAGUGUUAAGUCGCUUACCAUGCCUGUCUUCGGUAAGGUCUCGUCGCUCGACCUGUGGUUCUAUUGUUGAUAUGUUUAGUGUGAGGCUGCGAUGCUGUGAAGUGGUGCUUUCCCUUGGUUUUAAACCGACGGGUUCUCCAAAUUUCUUGGUAAG